AAGAGGAACUUGAAAGAAAAGAUGCUGAAGAUAAGAUGCCACGUUCACCUAUAGACAUUUUUGUGCACCGAUUUUAUUCGCAAAGUAUAAAACUUACACGUUUUUUGUUUUUAAGUCGAUAGUAGUUUAAAACAUAAGCAGUAAAAAUGUCCACAGUACUUAUACAGGAAGAUGGUGACCUUGCUUCAAGUCAUCAUAAGGAGCUGAAAUUCUGAAACAUGCAAAGAGGUGAGGAUCAUUUUAGUGGCUUCAUGAACAGCAAAUUUAAAGUGUGUUUAAUUUCAAACUACCAGAAAUAAAAAUUGUAAGCAGGUUAUUUUUGUUGAUUAUUUUUCCCCCCUUUCUGAAUCAAAGCUGGGAAUGCAUUAGGGUUACACAAGAACUACAUAAGGUUGGAUGUUAGUAAACUGAAAGUUAGUACAAGCCACAAGGUUUUGUUAAAAAAAAAAGGUAGGAGAAUGUUCUUAAAAAAACACAAGUAAAAGAAAACUAUUGCAUUGGACUUUUAAUUGUUUUCAUCUUUUAUUUCACUUCCAACACAAAGCAGAUUUUUGUCCACUGGGACAUGUCUAUUUCCUGGCAAACCCAACGAGAGCAUCAACACAAGUUAAAGUAAAAGACCCAUUUUAUUUUUAGCAUGUUCCUAAAAUUGCCUUCAAGUAGCAGCAACAUGAAGUGUAAAAAGAGCCACCUAGUUGUUAAGUUCAGUGCAUAAACGGCAACAUAAAUGUGCCUGAACAAUGGAUCAUUGAAAUCUACUGAUGAGUGAGUAUAAAACUGCCUGGUAAUCUGUGUGAUGAUCUGAGCUUGGUUUAGUGUUUGUAUUCAGUUUGAMGGUCAUUAAGUGAAUUUGGUUUGUAUUUUUGACCCUGACCUUUGGUUUCCAUUCAACCGUCAACCAGCUGGUUGUAUUUCCAGGGUAUUUGUUGCAUGUGUUUGAAUGCAUGGCUGAAUUCUGUGUUACUUUGUGAUGUWGUAAAUACAGUCAGACACCAUGCUACAUGAAUAAAUUCACACACUGACACUAAUAGAUCAGAGUGGUUUUGUGUGCCACUUUUCGUGCGUCAGGCUGAAUACAGUAACAAACUUCAGCAUGAUUCUCUUGUGCUGUUAUUGUUUAUUUGAAAUAAGUGUUUCUAAGUCAGGGGUCUUUUCCCCCCCUCAUAGUCUUUAUUUUGUGCUUGUUUGUUGUAGAGUUGUGCAGCAUGUGUUAACGGACUAAUCCAGACUCAGACGUUGCUGUAACUAACCUGUGAGAAAGGGUUUCCCACAGGAUGGGCGUCCAGCUUUCGUUUGUAAAAAGGAAAAAAAAGGACCCUUGGAAAUCGUGGUUCAUUCAGCUGUGGUAACUUGUUUUAUUUCCAGAAUUUUUCACUCAUGUUUUUAAGCGAUCAGACUCUUACACCGGGUGUUUCCCCUCCACAAUUUGCUAAUUAUAACAACUAUUUAAUGUAGCACUAAUGCUCUGAAGUCAUGAACAGCAGCGACUUCAAUGAACGCCUAGCACUCAAUGGUCUGUGAUGAUUUAUGCAAAAGUUUUCCAUUUCUUCAAUAAAAUCGAACAUGUGCUGAAA